ACCUCAGUCAUGUGAGGACGUGAAAAAAGGAAAAUAUUUUUCAAUGAAUUCAAAAGUAUUAUUAGCGAAUAAAUGUAAUGGAAAAUAGUUUAGACAAAAGUGAAGCAUCUGUAAACAUGGCACCAAACAUUGAUGAAAUAAAAAUUCCCGAAAUGAGUGACUUUAAUGAGGAAGAAGAUGAUGACUUCUUCGAUGUCUUGGACUCUGAUAUGGACAACAUAAAUUCCGCUCUGGAUCAAAUUGAGGAACGAGCAAAUACAAUUCUGGAGGCUAUUCAAGCCUUGACAAAGACCAUGAAAGAGGAUCGAGUACAAAAUGAAAUUACCGAGGGAAUGGAAAGUGCAAAAAUAGACGAAAACAACACAGAAAAUAAAAAAUAAAUUGUUGCAAUAAAUAUAUGUUGAUGUAUUUUUAAUUCAAAU